GUGGGGAAUAUUGGACAAUGGGCGAAAGCCUGAUCCAGCCAUGCCGCGUGUGUGAAGAAGGUCUUCGGAUUGUAAAGCACUUUAAGUUGGGAGGAAGGGCAGUAAGUUAAUACCUUGCUGUUUUGACGUUACCGACAGAAUAAGCACCGGCUAACUUCGUGCCAGCAGCCGCGGUAAUACGAAGGGUGCAAGCGUUAAUCGGAAUUACUGGGCGUAAAGCGCGCGUAGGUGGUUUUGUAAGUUGGAGGUGAAAUCCCCGGGCUCAACCUGGGAACUGCCUCCAAAACUGCAUGACUAGAGUACGGUAGAGGGUAGUGGAAUUUCCUGUGUAGCGGUGAAAUGCGUAGAUAUAGGAAGGAACACCAGUGGCGAAGGCGACUACCUGGACUGAUACUGACACUGAGGUGCGAAAGCGUGGGGAGCAAACAGGAUUAGAUACCCGAGUAGUAC
rnacentral:rRNA from 1 species